UUACAGAUUUAAAUUUUAGAAAACUCUAAUAAUUAAUUUAUUUGACAUAGACCUUUUCAUACUUUUCCUGCUUUCCUACUUUAUGUUAUAUAUUUGUAAUGAUAAAAAUAUUGUACUGAUUGUUCCAUUGACUAAUAAUAGUUUUACAGGUAAAAUCCAAUGACACCAUUCAGCAGUCAAAGCAGAACUUAUUAACUUGAUUCCAAAAUUAUGGUUUGGAUAAUAAGGAAAUCAUAAAUUCUCAAAACAAAUUUUCUCGUAAAUUUGAAAAAUUUUAUUGAGACGGAGUAUAGAUAUUCUACGUUGUGGUCAUAAGAAAAUAAUUAAAGAAAUUGCAAAUACUUUGUACGCAUAUGUUUGUAAAAACGAUCAAAAAGUAGAAAUGUUGCACAACUGUUGUUUAAUAUAUGCUGAUGAACUUACAGAUUUAAAGGAAAAUAAGGAUCUUAUUGACUAUUAUGAAAAUAUGGUUUGCGAUUGGAGUUAUGAAGAUAAAAAUUUGACAACGGUACUUCGAGAAGAUAACAUGACUAUGGACAAAUAGUUGUAUUGACUGGUGAUACUGAAGAUACAGGCCGCAUCAAGGUGGAUCGUUAUAAUUAAGAUUUAAAAAUAUUAAUGGAUGACGACAGAUUUAUUUUAAUUGUUAAAAAAAUAUUUAAUUUGUAAAAAUUAUAUAAAACAAUAAAUAGUAAAAAAAUGUCUGUGUUAUCUAC